GAUGAACGCUGGCGGCGUGCCUAAUACAUGCAAGUCGAGCGAACGGACGAGAAGCUUGCUUCUCUGAUGUUAGCGGCGGACGGGUGAGUAACACGUGGAUAACCUACCUAUAAGACUGGGAUAACUUCGGGACACCGGAGCUUAUACCGGAUAAUCUUUUGAACCGCAUGGUUCAAAAGUGAAUGACGGUCUUGCUGUCUCUUAUAGAUGGAUACGCGCUGCAUUAGCUAGUUGGUAAGGUAACGGCUUACCAAGGCAACGAUGCAUAGCCGACCUGAGAGGGUGAUCGGCCACACUGGAACGGAGACACGGUCCAGACUCCUACGGGAGGCAGCAGUAGGGAAUCUUCCGCAAUGGGCGAAAGCCUGACGGAGCAACGCCGCGUGAGUGAUGAAGGUCUUCGGAUCGUAAAACUCGGUUAUUAGGGAAGAACAUAUGUGUAAGUAACUGUGCACAUCUUGACGGUACCUAAUCAGAAAGCCACGGCUAACUACGUG
rnacentral:rRNA from 1 species